rnacentral:lncRNA from 1 species
AAACCCUUGCGGGGCAUAUUUAGUGAGCGGACCUCGGAGGACGUGUUUUAGGUGUUUGGUAUUCGUGUGGCCUUUUCCUUUGUGUCCCGGCAGCUUCACGAACCUCCUGAGGUGUCAUAUAGAGUGCUGGGCCGUGGCAAGUACAGAACACAAAGAUGUCAUUGCAUAAGGCGUGUAUCAAAAGGGUUCCGCAUCAGGACAGACGGGGAGAACGGAGGGACUAUCAGCAGGCCCCAGUCCUGCAUAUGAUCUUUUGCUAGCCCUAAAACAGUUUUGUUUCCGAGUUCGAAGGUG